rnacentral:rRNA from 1 species
GCCUAUGGCCACACCACCCUGAGAAUGCCUGAUCUCAUCUGAUCUCAGAAGCUAACCAGGGUUGGGCCCAGUUAGUGCUUGGAUGGAAGAAUGCCUGGGAAUACUGGGUGCUGUAGGCU